ensembl:lncRNA
CUCUGGAUCCCCACGUGAGCAGUCCUGGGCUCUCUUUAUUGGAGAUUUUGCCCUGAAACCCUGCAGAUGCAGAGGAACACUGAGAAGAUGUACCAAAGGCACGGCUGAAACACCGAGGGGACAAAUGGACAAAACUUGUUAAGUGUUUCCAUCGUAAUCGAGGUGCUGCCCCUCCCCUCGGCUCACUGUGGCGGAAUCAGCACCGCUGUCCCCCUAGGUAUGCCAUCCGCCUAAGGAAUGGCUCUCCCAAGGAGCCAUUGCACAUUUGCUUAAUGAAUUUUGAAAUAACCUCUACUUGGGGCUGCGUUUAUUGAGAGAGGAGUGUCCACAUGGGGCAGCUUCCCCUUUAGCUCUGCCUCCCAGUCCUGCAUCCUGGGGACCAGGCCAGCGAGCUUGGUGAGGGGGUGCGGGGCUGGAGAGAGAUGUUGGCUGCAGCGUGUGGCUUGUUGAGAUCCUUGUGUUCAUGAGUCAGUUCGGCUAAGUUUAGUGCUGGCUUCUGCCGCAGAACAGAUGGACAGUGAGAGCAAAGAUAUUCUGCUUGACUCUAGCCUGGCACGACCCCAUCCAAGUGGUCAGCCAGCUCUGAGCUGACACAGACACAGGCGUGGAGCUGUGCUUCUGGGUCCUGGCAAUGGCAGGCAGAGGACAGGAAUCCAUGACUGCCCCUCAUUCCUUCUCCGCUCAUUCAUUCAGACGCUUUCAGCGAGCACCUGUUAUACAAAGGCAACACAGUGAGAGCAUCUUUUCUGCACCAUCCCGUCCAUGUCUUGGGCAACAGGCAGGUCAACAUUGAGGCAGGAGGCCGUCAAGUCAAAGAAGCCAUGGGUGCCUCACUGACCCCUCACUCACCAUGAUCACCUCAACCGCGUGACCCAAAGACCAUUGAAUCCAAGCUUGGCCCCAUAUGGCUCCACCCUGGGCCUUGGAAUUACUAGCCAGACACUGUUCUCACUUCAGAGGGUAUGAUGGAUAGGAUUGGACCAUUUAAACAAGCAGAGCAAAUAUAAUUCCUGAACAAGACCAUGCUUUAGGUGCCACAUAGUGGCCUUAAAACCAACCACCAUCCUUGAGAAGAUUAUAAAUGUCAGUAUUUGAUUUUUUUUUUUUUUUUUUUUUUGCUUUAUCACCCCUUUUUGAGCAUUCUUACUCUCGAGCCCAGGCUAAUAGACAUGGCAAUGCUCUUGGCAGCCAACCGACAUGUUAAUAAAUACAAGGAGCCCGUGUGCCUGUGUCA